UUGUGUUUUCAACAAUUUCUGAGUGAGUGUGCAACUGCAGCCUGUGCAAACACAAACAGGUAAAGGUUCUAGUCCAUCCAGCUGAUCCCACAGAAGUUUGAUCUUGUUUUGAGGUACAGAACACUUCUUGCAACUGAAGCUUCAAGUGAGGCCAAUAUCCAUGAAAUGACCAAGUCAUUGCACCUGAUCCACAUUCUGUAGUUUGUAGAAUUAGUUGCUGGUUGAUUCAGACUGCCAUCUACAAAGCAAAGCUUAUUCCUAGCAGACAAUGCUAUCAUCAUUGAUCUUCUCCAAUCACUGAAGCUUUUUCCUUCACCAUCAAACUCAAUAUUCACCAAUUUGGUGGUAUUCAGAUCACUAUUACUGAGAUAGUAAGCAGAAUUAGGAUUCUGUGAUGAAUCUUGCUGAUCUGAAGGCAUUUUAUUAUUGCGAAAUCACAAUUUCUCUGAAGAUUUGAUUAAAGAAUUAACAAGAAGAAGAGAAAGAACGCAGGAUCAAUUGAUCACUACUCU